rnacentral:lncRNA from 1 species
CAAAUAUCCCCCCUGCCGCCCCCAAAAAACUGCUAACCUCCCUUGUUAUUGUAAUGGUGAGAGGUUAGCAUGUCUUGGGGGUAUGAUAUAAAAUGCUAACCUCCCCUGUUAUUGUAAUGGUGAGAGGUUAGCAUGUCUUGGGGUUAUGAUAUAAAAUGCUAACCUCCCUUGUUAUUGUAAUGGUGAGAGUUUAGCAUGUCUUGGGGGUAUGAUAUAAAAUGCUAACCUCCCUUGUUAUUGUAAUGGUGAGAGGUUAGCAUGUCUUGGGGGUAUGAUAUUUGUAAAAUAUAUGUAGCUAACCCACUGAGGUGGGUUUAUUAAACUAUCUGGCUAGGUGAAUUAUGCUAGUUUUUGUCCUCAUUGCCAAACUUCAUAAAUACUGCACCCUCAACUUCAAAACUCCCUUGCUAGUUAUACCUUCAUGUAACUAAGAAAUUUGCUGGAAAGAAACUUGAAAAUGAUUGAUUGUUUUAUUGUUUUGUUGACUAGUCAUGACUGGUCCGAGAUAUCUGUCGUAAGACUACGGUGGCGAAGGAUAUCAUUGCUACUUAACACGGAUACAAGUUCAGUUUGAGAUCCAGGGUAAGUGGAUCUUGGGUUAGGGUCAGUGUUAGGGUCAGUGUUAGGGUUAAGGCUUGGUUUAGGGUUGGGGCUCAGCUUAGCCUGUAUGAAUCAGAAGGUCUCUGGUUUGAAGGAUGUUGUUGUGACGCUCCACAGUUUGGGGGUCUGACAGCCCGAAGGAGAUCAGGGAUGAGUCCAGGUUAACAUAUUUAUAUUGGAAGUACUUGUUCUGGAACCAAGAACACAUUCCAACAACAGGACAACACCACUGGCAUUAGAACAGUUAACACUGAAUUAAAUCAGCCAAACUCCGUGGAUCCUUCCCCCCCCCAAGAAAAUAAUUUCUCUCCAUUGCGCUGAUCUGAAGCAAGUGACCAGGACAAAACCAGUCUGAUGAGGAGAAGUGACCAGGACAAAACCAGUAUGAUGAGAUGUGACCAGGACAAAACCAGUCUGAUGAGAAGUGACCAGGACAAAGCCAGUCUGAUAAGGAGAAGAGGAGAGGACAGAUUUUUAAGAAAAUGUGUCUGUGUGAUGUAACAAGCGAAGGCCAAUCUCUCUCUGUAUAUGUGUAGUGUAGAGUAGAGUAGAGUAGAGUAGGG